CAGGUGUUCAUCUGCAUGAUUUUCCUGUUUAUUGCCCCAUCAUUCCCUGCAGGGAACUGUCAGGACAGAAGAGAAAACAACUUGUGCUCCAGAUCCCUCAACCAGUUGUCCCAAGGCCCUGAGGUCCCUUUGGUUGUCUGCAGCUUUCUUGAUGGUACUUUGUCACUGCCCACCUGAAAAAGCAGUAGCAGAGUGAUAUAACUGAAAGUGCUUCUCCUAUAUUUGAGGAAGAACGAAUUGAUGAUUGGACGGUAUAUUAAUAAGUAGCUGUUGUAUUACGAGAAUAAGAGCAUAUCUGGGGAGUUGGGAAGAACUGGAUUUUGACCCUAGUCUAGCAGCUCUGCUGCUCACUUAAACACAGAUGAAUGAAGACCCCAUUUGGAAAAUCACCAGGUCAGCGGUCCAGAGCUGAUGCAGGUGACUAUCAACACCAUCAGCUAAUCGUGCCUGAUGCAUUUGGUGGCCUUCGAGGACAGGAUUACAGAGGUGGUGAAUGAGGGAAGAGUGACUGGCAUCACCUACCUGGACUUCUGCAAAGCAUUUCACAUCCUGGUCUCUAAACUGGAGAGAUGUGGAUUUGAUGGGUGGACCAGUCAGUGGAUAAGGAAUUGGCUGGAUGGUCACUCUCAGACUUGUGGUCAACAGCUCAAUGUCCAAGUGGAGAUUAAUGACAAGUGGUGUUCUUCAGGGGUCAGUAUUGGGACCGGCAUUGUUUUUUACCAUCU